ACACCUCAUUCCCACACUUAAUUCCUAGUUUCCCACCUCCCCUUCUCACUACUUUCUCUCUCUCUCUAUUCUCAGUAUAUCAUUACUUUGAAGUAAUGAUAAGUUAUUGCAUAUAACACAAACCAUAGCAGUUUUUGAAAAGUUGGAUUUUUGGGACUUGGCAUAAACUAGUUGAGAGGACAAAGGAAUGGUACAGAUGAAAAGCUGUGCCAUUUCAUGCAAAACCCUUAUACUUGAAGUUAAUGGCUUUUGAGAAAUUGCAUCAGUUGAAGUUAGCACAGCACCAAUAAUCAGCCAAUUUUUGGCUGGUUAUUUUAAGAUCAUUACAAAAGCAACCCCGCCUAGAAGAGAAGACAUCAUAAGCGCAGCAGAUUCCCACAUGGACAGAAUGCAUAAAAAGAAUACAGUAUUUAUAGCCACAACACAAUUAUGCAAUUCACAAUUAUGCAAUUAUGCAAACGGAGUUCAAGUUACUCAUAGCUAUACUCAGCUAAAAUCUCGAAAAUUCUAAAGGGGAAAGUAAAAGUUUUUCGGAAACUGAUAGAGAGGUAUUGUUAUAAAACUAGUUUUGUUUAAAGUUGAGGUAUAGUUAUUUUUCCUUAUCUUUGUGCUCAACGUAAUAGAGAUAAAAGAUUUACAUAUAAGCAUGGAUGAGGUAUUUGAAAAAGGUCAAGACAUUAUCCUUCAUCCUGAAAGGAAAAGAAGUAUUGGAUAUAACUAAGAUAGAUGAUGAACUAAGAACCGAGGCAAGUCUUCCAAUUUCUUUGUGAUUCUAUGAAUUGGUUAUUAUAUGAGAUCUUUAAGAAUAUGUUGAAUUACAUGUUACAUGCUAUAAACUGUGAAAGUCAAUAUAUGAUUAAGUUGAUUGAGUUAUGAAACUCAAUACAUAUGUGAUAUAUGAUAUGAACAUAUAUUGUUUAAAGUGAUGAUGCAUGAAUGUUAUAAAGGAUUAUGAGAUAUAUGUUGAACAUGAAACUACGUGUUAUAUGAAGCAUGACAACUGUUAGAUUUGUUGGGCUGUCGAGCUCAGUCUUGCAAAAAUAUAAUUUUUCCAUGUAUGAUAUGCAACACGAUUUCUUGCGAUCCGGAUGGUAAAGAAUAGAAGCCUGUGUGCAGAAAAGCUGUUUCUUUUAAGUAGGAACUAUAUUACAUCUAAAUGACAAUUUUUAGUAUGUGUAAAUGAGAAUUAUAGAAAUAGUGAGUUAUUUCGG
rnacentral:lncRNA from 1 species